GACGGGUCCUCAGCGCAGCGAUGGUAAGUGGGUUGGUUGUACGAAUAAUUGCAAGAUUUGGAGUCGCUGGCGGUCGACCUUGGGGGAGGACGGGGUAAUGAUGAUUCCAGGUGAUUCUGAGCGUGUCGCUGAUGCCAUCACCGCAGCGCGCUGACACCCCUCGUGCCAGAAUUCUCAAUGUCUGGGCUCGGGGAAGUUGGUGGCCAAGAACCCUUUUAAUAAUUAUAAUUUUUUGUUUUAAACUUCCUUAUUUAGGGGUUUUAAGACGUCCAUUGGUGUGUAAUCCUUAAAUAAAGGUUAGUAUUAACUGCAAGAGUCCCAAAUGCCUCUGAACCCUUUUGUUUCCCAGCUUUCAUGGGGCGUUGGCGUCUGUUAGUUUCCUAAUGAGCAUGUACAACAGUGCCCAUAUUUCAUGUGGUGGCUUUCCAGGGACCACUUUUGUUUUACAUUUCUCUUGUGGUUCUUGUUCCUUUGUGAUCACCUCUGGGUUUUUUGGGGGAGGAGGGGUACCAGGGAUUGAACUGAGGGGCACUUGACUACUGAGCCACAUCCCUCUCAUAUAUUUGAUUUAGAGAUGAGAUCUCACUAAAUUGCCUACCGCUUCGCCAUUGCUGAGGCUGGCUUUGAACCCACGAUCCUGCCUCAGCCUCUGGUGCAGCUGGGAUUACAGGCAUGGGCCAUCAUGCACAGCCCCCUCUGUAUUUUUAAGUACAGUUAACACAUCUAUUCUAAAAUAUUUCUAUUGUAAACUUGAGCUCAUGUGGGUCCUCCAAGUGGAGCUAUUCUCAACUGUAUUCUUUUGUGCUCUUUCUUCAACUCCUCAUUCCUUAAGUCCUUAUAUAGUAGGACUGUUGUCUUUGUACUGUAUCCCCUCUCAGAAUGGCUUCCCUUGAUCCAGAUCUUCCUUAAGUGAGAAUGAUGAAUUUACAGACUAGAGUCUCUGAUGCUGGUCCUGAUGUCAAAAAUAAGUUCUGACUCAUUUAGGGAACUGGAUACUUGGGUCUCUGGAGAAGGCUGCUUUUUUUUUUUUUUUUUUUGGUAGAUGGACAGCAUGCCUUUAUUUUAUUUAUUUUUAUAUGGAGCUAAGGAUUGAAUCUAGUGCCUCAUACCUGUUAGGUCUGCCACUGAGCUACAGCCCCAGCCCCUUUCUGUUUUGUUUUGAGACAGGAUUUUGCCAAACUACUGAGGCUAGCUAGCCUCCUACCUUGAAUUCCUCCUGCCUUAGCUUUCCAGUUUUCUGGAUUAUAGGGAUGCACCGCCUGGUUAACGCCUGCUUGUUCUUUAUGGUUGUCCUGUCUUUCUAGCAUGAGAGUUCUGCAAGCCCAGCUAAGGGCAGUGCCCCUACCCAGAGAUUCUUUGCUAACCUGAAGACUGAAAAGGUUUUGGAAUCUACCCCAUGGGACACUGUUGGGAUGCUUAGGUUCCUGCUGUUGCAUCCUCAGGCUGUCAUGACAAGUGGAGAGCAACCCUUUCUCCCUGGUUACUAUGGUGAGUCAUUCACAUUGGCUGUCACCCUGAGGGUAAUAAUGACCUUAAAACUACCAGAUCUACUUAAUUCUUCCCCUCCAUCCCAUGUGACAACUUCCCAUCCAGCUUCAUGGUUUUAUUGCCGGUUGCCUGCAUGGUUCUAAUGUGUUCCUUUUGUGAAAUUUCAGGAUUUUGUUGACACAAAGGAUGCUCUGAUGUUGGACGGUUUCUAUGAAUAUAACAUCUUUCCUGUAUUAAACUGAGCAGCUAUGAAGCACAAAUAACUGGCUAAAAUUUUUGGGACCCUACCAUUAAGUAGGAUAUUUGCUUGUGUUUUCUCAUUUACAAGCACAUGAUUUUAUUGGAAAAAUUUCAAUAAAAUAUUUUAAAGCAAGUAAUGAAUGGAU
rnacentral:lncRNA from 1 species